AUACGUAGGGUCCGAGCGCUGUCCGGAAUUAUUGGGCGUAAAGAGCUCGUAGGCGGCCUGUCGCGUCUGCUGUGAAAGUCCGGGGCUUAACUUCGGGUGUGCAGUGGAUACGGGCAGGCUUGAGGUAGGUAGGGGAGACUGGAAUUCCUGGUGUAGCGGUGAAAUGCGCAGAUAUCAGGAGGAAUACCGGUGGCGAAGGCGGGUCUCUGGGCCUUACCUGACGCUGAGGAGCGAAAGCGUGGGGAGCGAACAGGAUUAGAUACCCUGGUAGUCCACGCCGUAAACGUUGGGCGCUAGGUGUGGGGACUUUCCACGGUUUCCGUGCCGUAGCUAACGCAUUAAGCGCCCCGCCAGGGGAGUACGGCCGCAAGGCUAAA
rnacentral:rRNA from 1 species